CCUACGGGAGGCAGCAGUGAGGAAUAUUGGUCACUGGACGAGAGUCUGAACCAGCCAAGUAGCGUGAAGGAUGACUGCCCUAUGGGUUGUAAACUUCUUUUAUAAAGGAAUAAAACGAGGCACGUGUGCCUUUUUGCAUGUACUUUAUGAAUAAGGAUCGGCUAACUCCGUGCCAGCAGCCGCGGUAAUACGGAGGAUCCGAGCGUUAUCCGGAUUUAUUGGGUUUAAAGGGAGCGUAGAUGGGUUGUUAAGUCAGUUGUGAAAGUUUGCGGCUCAACCGUAAAAUUGCAAUUGAUACUGGCAGUCGUGAGUACAGUUGAGGUAGGCGGAAUUCGUGGUGUAGCGGUGAAAUGCUUAGAUAUCACGAAGAACCCCGAUUGCGAAGGCAGCUUACUAAACUGUGACUGACAUUGAUGCUCGAAAGUGUGGGUAUCAAACAGGAUUAGAUACCCGAGUAGUC
rnacentral:rRNA from 1 species